rnacentral:rRNA from 1 species
UACGUAGGGCGCAAGCGUUAUCCGGAAUUAUUGGGCGUAAAGAGCUCGUAGGCGGUUUGUCGCGUCUGCCGUGAAAAGUCCGGGGCUCAACUCCGGAUCUGCGGUGGGUACGGGCAGACUAGAGUGAUGUAGGGGGAGACUGGAAUUCCUGGUGUAGCGGUGAAAUGCGCAGGAUAAUCAGGAGGAACACCGGUGGCGAAGGCGGGUUCUCUGGGCCGAUACUGACGCUGGAGGAGCGAAAGCGUGGGGAGCGAACAGGA